CUUCAAGAGCUCUCUCAUCCAAACAACUGGAUCUUCAUAAACGUCCAGAACCUCCUCCUUGCCUGAGGAUGGAUGGCCGGUGUGUGGAGAUGUUGGGAAAUCUACUUCUGGAAUCUUGAUUAUUGGCGACUUUGGCUUAGUGAAGAGCAGAAUCUUUCUAUCAGAGGAUCGUCAGUUGGAUCCCCUUCUCUGCGAUUCGUGUAGGCAGUGGGAGUACAUUGAGAGGAAACCAUUUGGAAAACCUCACUCUAGAAUGAGACACACAGAAAACAGCCUGUAACACACACAGACAGCACAGCGAGGUGAGAGUGAGCAGAAAGGGAACUAUGUGUGACAGUGAGGCCCUGCCCGGUUCUGCAAGCUUGAACUGUGUGGAUCUGCAGCUUUUAUAAUACCAUCACCUUUGCAUGUGUCCUUUUAAAAAUGUCUCCUAUUCAGCUGCAGCUCAUGUUUACCUCAACAGCGUUAAGUUGCAUUGACUUCUUAUUUAUACUGGUUGACAUACACAUGGAAUCUACUGGUAUCUACCAUUCAUAACAUCUCAGAAAAGUGAAAUGACACAAACAACACUGAUAGACAUGCUCCUGUCACGCUAAGUAUGUUGACAACGCAUUCCCUUUGACUGGAAAUUCAUUGGAAAUCAAUACUCAACUAAAUUGAAUUGUGAAUAGAUAAAUUCUCAAGCUCAUUUAUGGGAAGCUAAGUAUGUCAAUCAUGAUGUCACAAGAAUUGUCCGACAUCUGGAGCACAGCCGCUGAACCUGAGAAUACAACUAGUUUCAAAGGCAAAGCCUAUAAACAGUGCUUAACAGAGCUCAGCUCUACUCCCUUGGGUCCUUCACUCUUCUUGAGCGCACCCCCCUCCCCCCAGUCCCCCUCUCAACUAGCCAACCCACGUGGCAGCAAAGCAACUCCACCUCAACCAGAAAAAAGGGGCUAAAGACUGACCU